UGGCGGACGGGUGAGUAACGCGUGGGUAACCUGCCUCACACAGGGGGAUAACAGUUGGAAACGGCUGCUAAUACCGCAUAAGCGCACAGUACCGCAUGGUACAGUGUGAAAAACUCCGGUGGUACAGGAUGGAUUCGCGUCUGAUUAGCCAGUUGGUGGGGUAACGGCCUACCAAAGCAACGAUCAGUAGCCGGCCUGAGAGGGUGAACGGCCACAUUGGGACUGAGACACGGCCCAAACUCCUACGGGAGGCAGCAUG
rnacentral:rRNA from 1 species